rnacentral:lncRNA from 10 species
GCUGCCUCACCGUUCAACUUCUCUCUUUCCUCAAUCUUGCUUCUCUCAUUGCCUUACUGGUGUUUGUCCUGAGAGCAUGCCCUCCACAAAUGUAACAUUUCUCAGAGUGCUAUUAUCAGGAUUUAUGAGAAAGUUGAGGUGCAGAGAGGUCAAGGAACUUGUUGCAGCUCACUGAACUGGGGCUGGUCUACUUGUGGGUACAAAGGCCCAGACCCAUUGUUUCAACUGGAGACCUGUGAAGGGCGAUCCCAGCCUCAGAACCUCGCAUGGGAUGGACUCAGUACUCUGCUGCAACUGCAUUUCAGUUUAACUUCUCCCUUUACCCAGUCCUAACUUCCUUAUUCCCUAAAAAAUGUUUCUGGGAGUGCUCCUCAGUAAACUUCAUGCAUAAACACUUCAGAGGCUCAGAGUAUGUUUCCUGGAGAAUUCCAUC